rnacentral:rRNA from 1 species
UACAGAGGGGGCAAGCGUUGUCCGGAUUUACUGGGCGUAAAGCGCGCGCAGGCGGUCUUCCAAGUCAGUGGUGAAAGCCCGGAGCUCAACUCCGGAACUGCCAUUGAAACUGUAAGACUUGAGGAUGAGAGAGGUGAGUGGAAUUCCCAGUGUAGAGGUGAAAUUCGUAGAUAUUGGGAAGAACACCGGUGGCGAAGGCGGCUCACUGGCUCAUAUCUGACGCUCAGGCGCGAAAGCGUGGGGAUCAAACAGG